AUUGAACGCUGGCGGCAUGCUUUACACAUGCAAGUCGAACGGCAGCACGGGUGCUUGCACCUGGUGGCGAGUGGCGAACGGGUGAGUAAUGCAUCGGAACGUACCGUGUAAUGGGGGAUAACGCUUCGAAAGAGGUGCUAAUACCGCAUACGCCCUGAGGGGGAAAGCGGGGGAUCGUAAGACCUCACGUUAUUCGAGCGGCCGACGUCUGAUUAGCUAGUUGGUGGGGUAAUGGCUCACCAAGGCGACGAUCAGUAGCGGGUCUGAGAGGAUGAUCCGCCACACUGGGACUGAGACACGGCCCAGACUCCUACGGGAGGCAG
rnacentral:rRNA from 1 species